rnacentral:rRNA from 1 species
AUUGAACGCUGGCGGCAGGCCUAACACAUGCAAGUCGAGCGAGUGGCGGACGGGUGAGUAAUGUCUGGGAAACUGCCUGAUGGAGGUGGAUAACUCCUGGAAACGGUAGCUAAUACCGCAUACCAUCCGAUGUUCCCAGAUGGGAUUAGCUAGUAGGUGGGGUAACGGCUCACCUAGGCGACGAUCCCUAGCUGGUCUGAGAGGAUGACCAGCCACACUGGAACUGAGACACGGUCCAGACUCCUACGGGAGGCAGAAGUGGGGAAUAUUGCACAAUGGGCGCAAGCCUGAUGCAGCCAUGCCGCGGGUAUGAAGAAGGCCUUCGGGCGGUAAAGCACUUUCAGCGAGGAGGCGUUACUCGCAGAAGAAGCACCGGCUAACUCCGUGCCAGCCGCCGCGGUAAUAC